GAUGAACGCUGGCGGCGUGCUUAACACAUGCAAGUCGAACGGAAAGGCUCCUGCUUGCAGGGGUACUCGAGUGGCGAACGGGUGAGUAACACGUGGGUGAUCUGCCCUGCACUUCGGGAUAAGCCUGGGAAACUGGGUCUAAUACCGGAUAGGACGAUGGUUUGGAUGCCAUUGUGGAAAGUUUUUUCGGUGUGGGAUGAGCUCGCGGCCUAUCAGCUUGUUGGUGGGGUAAUGGCCUACCAAGGCGUCGACGGGUAGCCGGCCUGGGAGGGUGUACGGCCACAAUGGGCCUGAGAGAGGGACCAGAAUCCUACGGGAGGCAGCAGUGGGGAACCUUGCACAAUGGGCGCAAGCCUGAUGCAGCGACGCCGCGUGGGGGAUGACGGCCUUCGGGUUGUAAACUCCUGUCGCUAGGGACGAAGCGGAAGUGACGGUACCUGGAGAAGAAGCACCGGCUAACUACGUG
rnacentral:rRNA from 1 species